CAGCAAUAAAGGCACAUCAGACCUCUGUAGUUGAUGGAGACCCAUUUAACACUGGUUCCUAAUCCUAUGGAGAUUCACAACGGACAAAUUUAUGCACCAACUGUUGGCCUGAUCUGUCACUGUUCCUCUUGAAGUCUUCUGGUCUGCAGAAUACUGACCGUGCUGAGUUGCUGCAGAAGAACGUCACACUUCCUGCCACUGCACCUGCAUAGGGACAGAGUGA